CGCGGGAUGGAGUAGCACGGUAGCUCGUCGGGCUCAUAACCCGAAGGUCGUAGGUUCAAAUCCUGCUCCCGCAA
rnacentral:tRNA from 1 species